rnacentral:rRNA from 1 species
CCUACGGGAGGCAGCAGUGAGGAAUAUUGGUCAAUGGACGCGAGUCUGAACCAGCCAAGUAGCGUGCAGGAAGAAGGCUCUAUGAGUUGUAAACUGCUUUUGUACAAGGGUAAACCUGAAUACGUGUAUUUAGCUGAAAGUACUGUACGAAUAAGGAUCGGCUAACUCCGUGCCAGCAGCCGCGGUAAUACGGAGGAUCCAAGCGUUAUCCGGAUUUAUUGGGUUUAAAGGGUGCGUAGGCGGAUUGAUAAGUUAGAGGUGAAAUGUCCGAGCUUAACUCGGGAACUGCCUCUAAUACUGUUGAGCUAGAGAGUAGAUGCGGUAGGCGGAAUGUAUGGUGUAGCGGUGAAAUGCGUAGAGAUCAUACAGAACACCGAUUGCGAAGGCAGCUUACCAAUCUAUGUCUGACGUUGAGGCACGAAAGCGUGGGGAGCAAACAGGAUUAGAUACCCUUGUAGUC